rnacentral:rRNA from 1 species
UUGAACGCUGGCGGCAGGCCUAACACAUGCAAGUCGAGCGGAUGAAGGGAGCUUGCUCCUGGAUUCAGCGGCGGACGGGUGAGUAAUGCCUAGGAAUCUGCCCGGUAGUGGGGGAUAACGUCCGGAAACGGGCGCUAAUACCGCAUACGUCCUGAGGGAGAAAGUGGGGGAUCUUCGGACCUCACGCUAUCAGAUGAGCCUAGGUCGGAUUAGCUAGUUGGUGGGGUAAAGGCCUACCAAGGCGACGAUCCGUAACUGGUCUGAGAGGAUGAUCAGUCACACUGGAACUGAGACACGGUCCAGACUCCUACGGGAGGCAGCAGUGGGGAAUAUUGGACAAUGGGCGAAAGCCUGAUCCAGCCAUGCCGCGUGUGUGAAGAAGGUCUUCGGAUUGUAAAGCACUUUAAGUUGGGAGGAAGGGCAGUAAGUUAAUACCUUGCUGUUUUGACGUUACCAACAGAAUAAGCACCGGCUAACUUCGUG